CAGAUUGAUUUCAUCCUCUCGAGAAGAGAAGAUAGGCGUGCGUGCCUAGACUGUAAGGUGAUACCUGGAGAGAGUGUUGUACCUCAGCAUAAGCUGGUGGUUGCUGACUUCCGCUUUCGGAUUCGUGUCCAGCGGGAUAAGCGUGCCAAAGUCUGUCGAACGAAGUGGUGGAAGCUCAAGGGGGAGGUAGCUCUGGCGUUUAAGGAUAGGGUCAUUAAGGAGGGCCCUUGGGAGGAAGGAGGGGAUGCGGACAGUGUGUGGAUGAAGAUGGCGACUUGCAUUCAUAAGGUGGCCUCGGAGGAGUUUGGAGUGUCCGGGGAAAGGAGAAGUGAAGAUAAAGAUACCUGA
rnacentral:rRNA from 1 species